GGAGGAUGUCCCGGCGCGCUGCUCAGUCACCUAAUCACCUGGAUUUCCAGUUCCAGCGUGGCCAUGUAAAGACGUGCUGCAGAGAGCUCCCAUGGUGUAGCUGCCUAUUAGUGAGUGACCUGAAGCUUGGAGACCCUUAUGGGCACCCCUACUAGGACCCUUUUCUCUCUGAAUUGUGCUGGGCACACUGGAUGAAAUGGUACACCUCUUGGCUCAAAAACCCACUCAACUGCCACCCAUUUCUUCCACAACAUUGCAAAUCUUUCAAGAUGGCAAUGGCUUCUAUUUGGCUCCUAUUGGAGGGACCUGGGGGCUCCCCUAUACACUCUUGCCCUAUAGGCAGAUAUGAUGCUCUGGAGCAGAAAGUGGCAAAAAGAGAACCAGGAAUGAACUUCAGUGCGAGCUGGCCCUUUAUAUACAAGAAAGCUUCACCUUGAACUCCAACCUAGAUGACCUCAAGAAUAGGUUCCAAUGCAGCAAUAUUAGGUUGGUCUUCCAGAGUCCAUGUGCAAUUCAGAUAUUUUUCAUAUCUGAGAAGGAAUUGCUGAAAGCACUUUGGACUACUGUAGAGUGGACCGUGCACAGAGGGCAGACCCAGAGCCCUCUCACUCCAAUGUAUUGGUGCCUUUAUCAAAACCUGUGUAGAGAAGUGGUGCAGGCGCCCAUAGCAACCAGAUUACUGUACACUAUAUAUAAAUAUAUAUAUAUUUUUUUUAAAGGCCUGUGAAAAAUGAAAGAAGCAAUCAGAUUGGUUGCUAUGCAACUCUUCCUCUACACAGGUGUUGUCAAAUCUCCUCCAUAUGCCCUUAUGCAAAGAUGUUGGGUUAGACACGUCCUUGAUUCACCCGCACAUGAUGGUAAAGCUGUCGUACUCUGUUCCAGAAGAGCUCACCAGGUGUUGUCAAGGAAUCAGACUGUUGAGGAGGCAGUUUUAGAACAGGACUCCGCACCACUACCCAGCCAGCUGAGGCUCAUCUUGCUGGCACUUGACAAGGAAAAAGCAUAUGACAGCGUCAACUGGGACUGGCUUAGAUUGGUUCACAAUAAUUUUGGCAUUAGGGGGAACAUUAGAACCUUCCUGUUCAGAUUACAGUACUCUUAAGUACUUUAAUAUACCACUGGAAUUUUGUCAAUCCCAAUUUUCCUGCACCAUGAAGACUUGGACAUCUGUAAGGUAAUAAUGGUGGGACGUAGGAAUGUUAAAUUUACCUUAUUUGCAGAUGAGGCUUUACAUUAUACAUCUGAUCCUUGUAUCGAUAUUGGCCCUCUAAUGGCAGUGAUAUUCCACUUUGGAUCUAG